rnacentral:rRNA from 1 species
AUUGAACGCUGGCGGCAUGCCUUACACAUGCAAGUCGAACGGCAGCGCGGACUUCGGUCUGGCGGCGAGUGGCGAACGGGUGAGUAAUACAUCGGAACGUACCCUGUUGUGGGGGAUAACUAGUCGAAAGAUUAGCUAAUACCGCAUACGACCUGAGGGUGAAAGUGGGGGACCGCAAGGCCUCACGCAGCAGGAGCGGCCGAUGUCUGAUUAGCUAGUUGGUGGGGUAAAGGCCCACCAAGGCGACGAUCAGUAGCUGGUCUGAGAGGACGAUCAGCCACACUGGGACUGAGACACGGCCCAGACUCCUACGGGAGGCAGGAGUGGGGAAUUUUGGACAAUGGGGGCAACCCUGAUCCAGCAAUGCCGCGUGUGUGAAGAAGGCCUUCGGGUUGUAAAGCACUUUUGUCCGGAAAGAAAUCGCGCUGGUUAAUACCUGGCGUGGAUGACGGUACCGGAAGAAUAAGCACCGGCUAACUACGUGCCAGCAGCCGCCGUAAAAC